AUGGGGUGCAUCUCGUCCAAGCUCCUCCCGCCCGGGCCCGGAGGCCGCACCGGCGCCGCGCGCGCCACCGUGCGCGGCCGUGUGGACCACGUCGUCUCCCUCACCUCCACCACCUACGGCGUCCUCGACCUGCAGGCCAAGCACGGCGCCACCGCCACGGCUGGAGCCAAGGACCUGCCGUUGCCGCAGGAGCAGGAGAAGCCGAUAAGCCGGGAGUGGAAGCGCGCGUCCGCCAGGCGCCCGCCGCCCCUCGUCGUCCCGGACGCCAAGAAGCCGGCUCCGGCGCCCAAGCCGGAGUCCGGCAUGGAGGUGAUCAACGCGUGGGAGAUCAUGGCCGGGCUGGAGGACGCCGAUUCGCCUGCCAAGAAGCCGGCCAAGCCCGGCCGUUGGUCUCCCGCCAGGGUCCUCGCCAUGGCCCUGUCGUCGCCCAAGAGGUCGUCGACGAAGCGGAGGAACACGCCGGGGAAGGAGAACAGCCCGCUGCAGCGUUGCUCCGGGAAGGAGAACAGCAAGCCCAGCGACGUCGCCGACGAGGACAGGGUCCUCCGCCCGUACAACUCCAUCGACAACUCCAAGCUGUCCAGGGCGUCCAAGAGAUUCUCCCCGGGAAGCGCCCGGGUCGCUCGGAAGCCCAACGCGGCCGAGACCGGAGGCAUGUCGUCGUCGCGCCGGAGCCUGAGCCCGCUGUUCGACCCGGAGCUCCUCGCGUCCAUCGAGCGGGAGCUGUCGGAGGAAGGCGCGCACAUCAAGCGAGUGAUUGGGUCCGAGAAGCCCAAGCAGCCGAAGGUGAUUCCGGCGAUCGUGGCGGAGGGCAAGUGCCCGCCCGGCGGCGCGGACGCGGUCGUGCUCUACACCACCACCUUGCGCGGCAUCCGCAAGACGUUCGAGGACUGCAACGCGGUGCGCGCCGUGAUCGAGGCCCACGACGUGAAGGUCAUCGAGCGGGACGUGUCCAUGGACUCGGGCUACCGGGAGGAGCUGCGGCUGCUGCUGGGCGGGCGGGAGCUGCGCGUGCCCGCCGUGUUCGUCCGGGGCAAGCACGUGGGCGGCGCGGCCGAGGUGACGAGGAUGGAGGAGGAGGGGAAGCUCAAGGCGCUGCUCCAGGGGCUGCCGCGGGCGCGAGUCUGGUGCGCGGGGUGCGCCGGCGUGAGGUUCGUCAUGUGCAGGGGCUGCAACGGCAGCCGCAAGGUGCGCGUGGACGGCGAGCGGAAGGAGACGGUCCAGUGCGGCGAGUGCAACGAGAACGGCCUAGUCCGGUGCCCCAUCUGCUCGUGA
rnacentral:rRNA from 1 species